CAGAUCAGGAUGAUUCUGCAGGGCCAUUGUGGUCCAGAGCUCCUGUAGAACUGACUGAGCCCUCUGUUGAGACUGCAUUGACGUUCAACUUCUCCCUUCAGACAACCCAACUUCCUUUAGUCUGUCUCAAGUCCUGAUCUUAAGGAGACCCCCAUUAAACUUCCUGCACAUGGAUUUUCAUGUCUCCAGAGUCUGCUUACUGAAGAAUGCAACCUAAAACAGAAAGAACAGCCCUACCACAGCAUUGGACACAAUACAGGAGACCGUGGGGCACGGAGGCCCAGGACUGGUUCAAUCAAUGGAAGCUCUAGUCUAAGCCCUCGCAGAUGUGCUGCUUAUUAAUUAUGUUGAUACACUAGGUCUAGAUUUGUGUUGAAGUUUCCUCUUAAAGAAGCCACAUGGAUUCCAAGUUACUCAGUUUCCUGGAGUGAGAUUGCAUGGCAGCCUGGGAUUUGCAAAUCUUCACCUGACAAUGAUGUUUAUGUAACAUUCCUGACCCCUGUGUCUGAGCAGCUUCCAAAGCCCAGAGACUCACUCUUAGUUCAGUCCCAGCACCGGUGCUGCCUGCCCUGCUAACAGCCUCCCUGAGCCUAGCCUUCUCUUUCUAUGAUCUGAUUUAAUUGUUAUGGCACUUUAUUAUUAUAAACCACCAUUUUAGAAAGUGUUGGGCUCAGUGGACAUGAGUUUGAGCAAGCUCUGGGAGUUGGUGAUGGACAGAGACCCCUAGUCCAUGGGGUCACAAGGUCGGACAUGACUGAGCGCCUGAACUGAACUGGACUAAGUGUAAUUUGAUCUCCAAGAUUCUGAACUCUUAGAAAAACCUCCGAUGCUGAAUUUCUCCUAAAACUUGUGUGUGUGCCCAGUCACUCAGUUGCGUCUGGUUCUCUGUGACCCCAUGGACUGAAACCCUCCAGGCUCCUCUGUCCAUGGGAUUCGCCAGGCAAGAAUAUUGGAGUGGGUCACCAUUUCCUUCUCCAGGGAGUCUUCUUGACUCAGGGAUUGAACUCAUGUUUCCUGCAUUGGCAGGUGGAUUACUUCCCACCUGGGAAGCCCAAGACGAGGGUUACAUAGCCUUAUUCUACUUUACCAUGAAAAAAAAAAUAAAGGUCAACAGAGAUAACUGUACACAGCCUCACACAGUGCAGGUGGCAUGCGGCAAAUGAAACCCAGGGCUGAAAGCUUUGCAAGUCCCUCCUCUCCAGUUCCACUCCACGAAACCCCCACUUGGCUGACCUCCCAUCAGUUCUACUCUGCUGGUGACUAACUCGGGUAAACCAUGCUGCAUGCUUUCUUUGGGUACUAAGGUCUUUGAAUACUGCUGGGAGAGCAACCAAUAAAAAUGCCAAGUGUAUUUCAUUAUAAUAAAUGUAUAUUUUUACCCC
ensembl:lncRNA